AUCUUCCGCAAUGGGCGAAAGCCUGACGGAGCAAUGCCGCGUGAGUGAAGAAGGCCUUCGGGUUGUAAAACUCUGUCCUUAGGGAAGAACGAUCUAUAUGUGAAUAAUGUAUAGAAGUGACGGUACCUAUGGAGGAAGCCCCGGCUAACUACGUGCCAGCAGCCGCGGUAAUACGUAGGGGGCGAGCGUUGUCCGGAAUUACUGGGCGUAAAGGGUACGUAGGCGGCUAUAUAAGUCAGGUGUGAAAUACCAGUGCUUAACACUGGAAUUGCAUUUGAAACUGUGUAGCUUGAGUGCAGGAGAGGAAAGUGGAAUUCCUAGUGUAGCGGUGAAAUGCGUAGAGAUUAGGAGGAACACCAGUGGCGAAGGCGACUUUCUGGACUGUAACUGACGCUGAGGUACGAAAGCGUGGGUAGCGAAC
rnacentral:rRNA from 1 species